rnacentral:lncRNA from 1 species
AAGAAAUAAAAGAGAGAGUUGAGGCAGAGACAAAUAUAAGGGGUUUCCGGCAUAUUAUUUCACAUUCAUUCGCAACCUUUCAAUGAACGAGGUAAGAUACUUUUGUGCAAGUAUUGUCGUUUUCUUAUGCUUUUAUAUUCGAUUAAAUAUGCAAGGAUUGCUAGUAGACCUUCAAGUUCUAUUAAAAGAGAGAUGAAAUCCUACCGGAUGAUAAAAACAUCUAAGAUGGGUGUGUCACUUGGUCACUGAUAUACUCCAUAAGAGCAUAGUGAUAUAAAAUGUAGAUUUUAUUUGUUAUAUCUUUGUGUAUGGAAACUACAUGUAUCUUAUUGGGUGUUUUCAAAUACUCACUCUUACAAAAAUUUUUCUGGGCGAAAUGAUGAUGCGGACUGCUAAGUGAAUUAAAGAAAGGAAGAAGAAAUUAAACACUUAGUUCGUUUUUUUAUGUCUCUAAAUCUAAUUGUUAGUUUUAUUUGUUCAUAGACUCAUUUAUUUAAUUAGUCAAUUGAUUGUGUUUUAAAUUUUUUAGAAACUCAUAUCUCGCGUUUAAAUUGAUAUUUAUGAUUGAAAAUAAAGAAUUUAAAGAAAAUUGAAUUUUUCGUACACUCUAAUUUUUAUAAAAAUUACGUGCGUUAAAAAAAUCAAACUCACUUAUCAGGGCUUCUCUUCAAGAUGAUAUCUAGCAAUAACUAUCUCGUGGAUUUCAUACGUCCUACAACGAUUUAGCCAUGAACUCCAACAUGAAUAAACAUCAAUUCCCACUAAACCACUUCAACAUUCAUCAAAGCACUUAGCCUAAAUAAAUUAAAGAAGUAAUUAGAAACCUCAAAUUCAUACUUCAUUUGAUCUAUAUUAUUUGAUCCAUUUAUACUUUAUGAGUCUAACUAAAACCAUCAUGUACACAUAUGACAAGUACUUCACUAUUUUCUGAAUUUAUGGAUAUUGCAAAAUAUUUUCUUUACUCAAUAUUAAUCCCCAGUACAACUUGUGAACCUGAAGAGCAACAUCUAAAACCAUUCGCAAAGUUCGUAUGACAUUCUUAAACUUUUGGCCCUUGGCCAUCUAAAUCGUCAAAUCACUCAAAUUCUGAAUAAGUAAAACAAUCCUAGACAAUUAUACUGUUGUUGGAAAUCCUCAACCAUCUAUCUUAAUGUUAAUAAUCUGUCUUGAUACUAUAUUUGUUUAUAUCCUAUUCUCUUCAAAGCAACAUAUUUGCACAAUAUGACAACCAUUACGAAUUGACUAUGGUAGCCAAAAUCAUAACUUGCCAACUUAUAAAUGCACUUUGUUCCUGACUAUCUUAAUAACUAAUUUUAUGGCAAACAUUCCAUAGAAAAUUGUUUGCGCCUUUACGAAAUUUCUAUUAAAACUCCUUGGGAAAAGUUAUUCCUCCAUUGCAAUCACAUAUUGUUUCGAUAUUUCAGAACCUUUAUCCUCAAUUCUCAUAUUGCCUUUAUUGGAGAAGAUCACCACCACAUGAUUAUCAUUAUCAGAAUACCUAAUCAUAUGAGCAUUAUGAAAUAGCUUAUCAAAAGCAUUUGUUACCUACUCCCCUUUAAACUAGAACCCUCAUCUUUGGACUUUACACCUACCAUCGACGAACGAUGGAAAAGACCCAUAAUUUUAUUCACAUGUCUAGAUAAAAAUGAAGAAACCAUUCAUUUAUCCAAAUUACACCAAAAUAUAAAUAUUUCUUUCCAAAUUUUUAGUCAUUCGUAACUGACCAUUCAUUUGGAUUGAUGGUUUUGUCUCUAACAAAGGUUUUGGACCUUGGCAUAUCAUCCACUUCAAAUGAUUCUACAAACUCUUGAUAUAGUCUAGCUAUUUAGUCCUCCACUCUCUGAUAACAUAAAAACAUUAAAUAGGACGUAAAUGGGUUUCAUGGAGGGGAAGAGGUAUUUAAAUUAUUUUUUCUUAGUUUUAAAAAAUACUUCUUUCCUUCACCUCUUCCUCCCCUGUGUACUUGCGAAAAUGUACCUUCUUUCAGGAACUUAUUAUAUUUAUCAUAAAAUGUUUGAACUAUAGAAAAGCCUAAAAUGUGUCAUGAACCAUACAAGUGUCCAAAGCACAUAUAAAACCCAAUAAGAGAGAAAAAUAUCGAUGUUAUUAGCUUCCUUUAUAAAACAGUAUGCAAAGAAAAAUUAAUAAGUACCAAAAGGAAGUCGAAUUCAAACAAACCCUCCUUCUAAUAUCCAAAAAUAUAUAACAAUCAAAUAUAACUAACCCCCAAACUAAAACCAACAGCGCUGCUUAUAAAAAUAGUGUUGGGUUUGUGACCCAGGAAAAAUAAUUGUUUCCUUAUUUUCACGUGUAAAAAAUUGCUUCCUUAUUUUCACGCGAUUUUAUUGGAAAUAUAUUAUUUCCUUGUUUCACAUUAUUUCCAUCUUUAUGGUAUUGUAUGUACCUAUAAAUAGUGACCUCUUCUUUUAGUUUAAUUCAAGCAAAAAUUGUUGUGUUGUAAUUUUCUCUCCAUAUCGUCAUUAUAAUAAAACAUUGUUUCUUCUACUUAACUCUAUUUGAUUUCUUUACUUUAAAUCUUGUUUAAUCUUUGUGAUCUUGUUACAUAGUUCAUACAACGUCAUUAACUCAAUCCUUGUGUCGCCUUUAGGAUCAACAAUUGGUAUUAGAGCUAGGCUAUAGGUUCUUCAUGAUUUGAUUGGGAUUUUUUAGAGAUGGCUACAUUAAAAUAUGACAUUCCACUAUUGGAUCGCAAUACAAAAUUUUCUCUAUAGCAAGUAAAGAUGAGAGUUAAUCUGGUGCAGUUGGUUUGGAUGAUGCGUUGCUGAAUUUUGAGAAGAUGCCAGUUAAUUGGACAACGAAUGAGGAACAACGGAGGGAUCAAAAUGUUUUAUCGCAUAUUCAUCUUCACUUGUCCAAUAAUAUUCUACAGGACGUCUUGAAAGAGAAAAUAGCGACUGCUUUGUGGUUGAAACUGGAGUAGUUAUGCAUAACUAAAAGUCUCACUAGCAAAUUGGCUCUAAAACAAAAGUUGUAUUCCCAUUACAUGGCAGAAGGAGGGUCACUUGAAGACCACAUUGCUGUGUUCAAAGAGAUAGUUGUAGACUUAGAGACAAUGGAGGUUAAGUAUGAUGAGGAGGAUCCGACCUUGAUCCUAUUGUGUUCGUUGCCCACAUCUUAUUUAUCGUUUUGGGACACCAUUCUAUACAGUAGUGAUACUUUGACCAUUGAGGAUGUCUAAAAUGCUUUGUUCUCAAAAGAGAAAAUGAAGCAUUUGGUUGGAACUACAUCAAGGGAUGAGGAAGCUCUAGUAUCUCAUAGUGAUCGACGGAGGGGUAGAUCGAGGAUGAACGUCAACCAUUUGUACUGCUUCUACUGCAGGAGGAAAGGACACGUUAAGAAAGAUUGCGAUAAGUCGCAUGCUAAAGGUAAUUUAGCUGCAAAUCAUGGGAGGCGAUCAUGUACUUCCGACGAGACCAAUUUUGUUGAGGAUUUUUCGAAUGGCGGUGAUGUGCUGUUAACCGUGGUAUCUAACAUGGAGUCUAAACCUGAAGAGAAAUGGAUUCUCGAUUUGGCAUGUUCGCAUUAUAUGUGUUUCAAUUGGAAUUUAUUUCAGACAUAUGAGGCUAGAAGCAAGGUAGAGUUGUCAUGGGAAACAACCAGUCUUGCCACAUUGCUGGAAUUGAUCGAGUCAGAUUGAGAUUGCAAGAUGGGAUGGUCAAAAUGAUUGAUUAGGUUCGACAUGCUGUAGACCUGAAGAAGAAUCUCAUUUCGUUGAGUACCUUGAAUUCAAAAGGGUAUAAAUUCUGUGGUGGAGGUGGAAGUGGAGUCUUGAAGGUCCAAAGGGGUGUCCAAGUUGUACUGGAUGGGCGAAAAAAGUCUCAAAUGUACAUCUUACAGGGGAGCACGGAACAAGUUAAGAGCUAUCUAAAAAAGUUUAGUGGCGAAGUGAAAUUCAGUUUGGUACAGUACCUUUUGUGACGGGCUCUGGGUCGGUUCAAAACAUUACUCAAGGGAGCAUUGGUGAUUCUGUUUAGUCACCAAUUUCAGUGGAUACACUGUGUUCAAUUGUCAGGGUUGGACUCAUGGAGCGUAGGUACAGUGAUGUUUGUGAAGCUUUUGGGAUCAUUGAAGGCAACAAUUCUGGCAUAGGGUCUUUUGAUUAGGCAUUUGGUGUGGUUUCUGCUAAAAAGGUGCUUCGAUCCUGUUUUUUCAACAGUAAUUCCCUGGUAGAAUUUUGGGAACCUGUGAAUAGGGUUCAAGUAUCGCUUGUGGACUCCGGGAAGAGGAAGAUGUUUUGUGAUGGAGAGUUUUGGUUGCUGUUUUGAAGAGCUCAAUUAGUUCGAUGUAGUUGGACAUAUUUUUCUAAGUGGAGAAAUUUUGGAGCUUGGUUUGUUGCACCGAAAUUUGAAUCAAAGUAAAGAUUGUUGGGUUUAUGACCCAAAUUAGGAAAAAUAUUUCUUUAUUAUCAAGUGAUUUUAUUGGAAAUAUAUUAUUUCCUUAUUUCACAUUAUUUUUGUCUUUAUGGUAUGGUAUGUACCUAUAAAUAGUGUCUCUUCUUUCAGUUUAGUUCAAGCAAAAUAUGAUGUGUUGUAAUUUCUUCUCCAUAUCGUCGUUAUAAUAAAACACCAUUUUCUCUACUUAACUCUCUUUGAUUUCUUUACUUUAAAUCUUGUUUCAUCUUUGUGAUCUUGUUACAUAUUUCAUACAACGUCAUUAAUCUCAAUCCUUGUGUCGCCUUUGGAAUCAACAAAUAGGUUCUGUUUUACCUUUCCCGCUAAUUGACAAACUAAAAAUCUGAUUCCUAGGUUUCUUGUGGUAACCCUUUGAAUGCAUGAUCUUUUUAAGAUUACUACAAUAAUAUAUGAAAUAGAAUAUGAAGAAAAUUCAUGUAAAUACAUACAUGCAUAAACAAAUAGAGCUUACUGGAUGCAGAAAAUUGAAUGGAUCUGUGAUGUGUCGGGGUUGGAUGGCCAGAGGAAGUAGGCAAUGACUACAAGGUUUCCUGUUGAGAGAGGAGAGAGUUUUCAAAAUGCGGAUUUUUUAUGUGAACCCGCAUAGCAACGGUGACUAAGGAACGCACAAGAAAUUGUUAGAACCCCAGGAAAGCUAAAAGAACCCAAUUUGUGGAUUUAAAUCAAGAAUAAUGAACCAAGCAAGCCAAACAAGACAACAAUGUGUGGACCUCUGGAUUACACAUUUCGUAAUUCACACCCGGUAUUGAACGCCACAAGAUUUUUACCUUGAUAAGUUCAAAAUUCAUUCCAAAGAAGAACAAGGAUUUGAAUGCAAGAAAAUUGCCUCACUUUUAAUGUCAAUAAUGUUAAAGUUGUACAAUGAAAUAAUGAAAAUCAUAUUUAUACUAAACCCUAAAAUCUAGUUAAAAAUGGAAUAAAGUCCUAAGAGAUUGCAAAGAUACCAAAAAAUAGAGUUUUGAUACAAUUAGGAAACUUUCGCGAAAAAGAAAAACUUUUGUGUCACUUAGUACCACGUGACCGCAUGGUACUCUCCAUUAUGGUUGUAUAAGUCACUUGUACUGGCUCUCUUAACUCUCGGUCGACCACCAUGGGACCGCAUGGUUUCCAAUACUAUGCGGUCGCAUAGUGUUGCUAUUCGGCUCUAACAUCGAUUGCUUGUAUCGUGUCGAUCCAAAUGGUUUCGGUUCUCGACCCCAACAAAAAACUUACUUCCUUUCUUGCAUAGAUCGAUGUUUCAUCAAUGGUUGAUUGCACAAUUAAACUCAUCUCUUGAUUGACCCACUUUGCCCUCGAACGCAUCAUCAAUCCUCCUUCGAUAAUCAACGGGUCUCUUCUCGGACUCGUCUUCAUCGGGCCUUAUUCUUAUAUCACAUCAUCCCCUCCCUCUUCAAAAAGAUCCAUCCUCAAAUCUGUACUUGCCACAAAGACAAACACACACGCACACAGAUCAAAUACAUUAAAUGUUGCUGAAACAUUAUACUCACCAGGGAGAUCCAAUUCGUAGGUAUUGUUGUUGAUCUUCUCAACAACUUGAAACGACAUCUCUUUAUGGUUGCAACUUUGAUUUUCUUUGCUCUGGAAAGCGCUUCUUUCUAAAAUGUACCCAAACCAAAUCGCAUGGUUUGAAGGUCAUGCUCAUCUGGCCCUUGUUUACUCGUGAUGCAAUGUGUUUAUUUUUGUUCUCGAUCUGCAUUCUAACCUUUUAUAUGGAGUUACUUUAUCAAUUUAGCUUUUCUUUUACCAUCUAAGCUACCACAUUUAUUCACAGGUAAAUGUAUUAAAUCCAUAAGGGUUGGUGGAUUAAAACCAUAAACAAUUUCAAAUGGAGAAAAUGACGUAGUAGAGUGAGUAGCCCUAUUAUAUGCAAAUUCAAUGAAAGGUAAAUACUCCUUCCAACUUUUCAAGUUUUUAUUGAUCAUAGUGCGCAACAAUUGAGUCAUUGUCCUAUUUACCACAUUGGUUUGUCCAUUGGUGCAUGGAUGACAAGUUGUAGAAAAUAGCAAUUUUGUGCCUAAUAGAAUCCGUCAAAAGUGACUUAAAAAUUUGACAUCCCCAUCUGACACUAUACUAUUAGGAACUUCAUGUAAAUGCACUAUCUCCUUAAAGAACAAGUCAGCAAAGUGAGUGACAUCGUCGAUUUUAUGACAUGGUAUGAAAUAGGUUAUCUUGCUAAACCUAUCUACCACUACAAAGAUUGAAUCUCAACCCCUCUUAGUCCUAGGUAAACCCAAAACAAAAUCUAUCAAAAUAUCAACCCACUAUUCACUAGGAGUAGGUAAAGGAGUAUACAGCCCUUGAGGUAAAACUUUAGAUUUAGUCUUUUUACAAGUUAUGCAUCGACUACAUAUCCGUUCAACAUCGCUUUCAUUUUAGGCCAAUGAAAAAGUUUCCCUAACAUUUCUAAAGUCUUAUGAACCUGAAAGUGUCCCAUUAAUCCCCCAAUAUGUGCUUCCCUCACUAACAAAUCCUGCAUUGAACAAUUUGGAACACAUAAUUUAUUUUCCUGAAACAAAUACCACUUAUGCCUAAAGAACUUAUCGACAACUACUUUACUACAUGAUUUGUAAACAUCGAAAAAAUCUAAAUCAUCUUCAUACAUGUCCUUAAUGUGUUCAAAACCAAGCAAUUUAGAACUUAGCGAAGUUAGUAGCAUAUACCUUCGAGAUAAUGUAUCUGCCACUACAUUUUCUUUACCUUGCUUGUAUCGGAUGACGUAGGAAAAUGUCGCUAUAAACUCCAUCCACCUGCAUGCCUUUUUGUUUAGCUUCCCUUGACCUCGCAAAUGCUUCAGUAACUUAUGGUCAGUGUGUAUCACGAAUUCCUAAGACCACAGAUAAUGCUGCCAUGUCUCCAAAGCUCAAACGAGUGAGUACAAUUCUUUGUCAUUUGUAGGGUAGUUGAGAGCAGCUCUACUCAGCUUUUCACUGAAGUAGGCUAUAGGCCUCAUAUCCUGCAACAAAGCUGCUCCAAUCUCUAUUCCUGAUGGCUCACACUUAAUCUCGAACCUUUUUAAAUUUAGAAAGUGCUAAAAUAGGUGUUCUACACAAUCUAUCCUUAAUGGUAUUAAAUGCAUGCUCUUGUUCUUUUUCCCAUUAUAAUCCUAUGCUUUUCUUAACUACCUCAGUGAGUUGUGUGGUGAUUGUGCUAAAGUCUUUCACAAAUCGCCUAUAAAAAGUAGCCAAGCCAUGAAAACUUCUUAUUCCAGUUAUGCUUUUAGAUAUUGGUUAAUCUUUAAUUGCCUUUAACUUUUCUUCAUCUACUUGUAUCCCGUUUGCACUAACCACAAAUCCUAGGAAGACAACAUUUUCCAUGUAAAAUGUACAUUUCUUAGAGUUAGCAUAAAGUUGUUCUUUCCUUAAAACCACAAGCAUACUCCUUAAAUGUUCUACAUGUUCAUCAAGUCCUUACUAUAGAUUAAUAUGUCGUUAAAGUAAACCACAACAAAUUUUCCUAUAAAGGCACGCAAAACAUGAUUCGUCGACCGCAUGAAAGUCCUUGGUCAUUCUAAGUCCAAACGACAUUACUAACCAUUCAUACAAGCUAUAUUUAGUUUUAAAUGUAGUUUUCCACUCAUCACCUUCGUUCAUUCGAAUUUGAUGGUAACCACUCUUAAGAUCAAUUUUACUAAAUAUGCAUGCAACAUGUAACUCAUCUAGCAUAUUAUCUAGUCUAGGGAUACGAUGAUGAUACUUUACUGUUAUGAUGUUGAUGGCUUUGCAAUCCAUGCACAUUCUCCAGGCCCCAUCUUUCUUUGGCACAAGUAGCAUUGAAUGGUACAUGGACUCAUGCUCUUCCUUACGUAGCCUUUGUUCAUCAGUUCUUCCACUUGCCUCUUAAGCUUCUUUGUCUCCUCAGAAUUACUUCGGUAAGCUGUUCGGUUUGGAAUCACAGUUCCAGCUAUAAAAUCAAUUUGAUACUCAGUACCUCAAAUGGGUGGCAAUCCACUAGGCAUAUCCUCCGAAAAUACAUCUUCAAAUUCCUACAACAAAGAUUUAGCCAAACGAGAGAGGAAUAGGUUAGGUUCCUCAAGAUUGAUGAGUGAUUUUUUAUAGAUCAACAAAAUCAUAUCUUCUCUCUCAAAUACUGCUCUCUUCAACUCAUUCCCUUUUGCAAAGUAAUUCGCUUUAGACUUUUCUCUCCUCUGGAGAGAGUCUCUUUCUUUUCGUUCUUGUGGCUUCACUCUCUUUUUCUAGCUACUAGCUACCUCACUAUUUUAUAUGUUGUUUGCCACCUAACUUUUUUCUCUCUUACUCACCAUCUCACUUUUUUCUCUCUUUUUUUCUAACUCUCUCAAUCUAUUCUCUUUUUCAUUUUUAGUUUGAUUUGGUCCUCAUACACUUGUACCGGUGUUAAUGGCAAAAGGGUGAUGGACCUCCCAUCCUUGACAAAGCGAUAGCGAUUUUUGUACCCGUCAUGAAUGACGUUCCUAUCGUAUUGCCAUGGUCUCCUCAAUAAAAGAUGUCCUGCAUGCAUAGGUACUACAUCACACACUACAUCAUGAGAACUACUGAUUGAGAAAUUUAUCAGUACCCUCCUAUUUACCUUAAUUUCUCCUCAUUCAUUUAACCAUUGUAGCCUAUAAGGUCUAGGGUGAUUUAAUAAAGUUAACCCCAAUUUCUCUACAAGAGUUGUGCUAGCUACAUUCGUGCAACUUCCACCAUCAAUGAUCAUGCUACAUACUUUAUCCUUAAUGUGGCAUCGAGUGUGAAAUGUGUUUUCCCGUUGUUGCUCCAAGUUAUCCGCCUUGAUUUGAGCGUUAAGAGCUCGCCUCGUGACCAACAGCUCUCUAACAACAAACUCCACUUUCUCCCCAUCACUAAUCUCCUCCAACUUCAACAUUCAUCAAAAUCGCCUUCACUCCUACUCAACACCUCUCAUUAUCCCGCAACACUAUCGCUCUUUUGUUUGGACAUUGAGAAGCAAUGUGUCCCGACCCCAUGCACCUAAAACACUUAAUAUCCCAACUCCUUGAUGGUUGUGUCUCCGUCUUGGGUACGGGCUUGCUAGCACUUUCUUAUUUUCCCCUUGGCAAUUCAAUCCUUCCUCUAGAAAUAGCUCCUUCUCCUUUUUUGUUAUCUCACUUUAGUUUCCAAGAUAAAUUAGAAGCCGAAGAGCCCAAUGGUUGCCUAGCUGUCCCCUUCCUCUUCAACUGUCUUUCUACCUGCAUUGCCACGUACAACAUUUCCUCUAAUUCCAUAUAGUGCUACAACUCCACUACAUUGGCUAUAUCCCUAUUCAACCCAUUUAGAGAAUGAGCCAUAGUGGCUUCUCAUUUCUCUUCCACAUUCGCCCUAAUCAUUAAUAUCUCCAUCUCCUUGUGGUGAUCCUUUACACUCCUCGACCCCUGAAACAAACUUUGUAAUUUUUGAUGGAGUUUCCUAUAGUAGUGACUAGGCACAAAUUGCUUCAUCAUAAUAGCUUUCAACUCAUCCCAAGUAUUGAUAAGUCGUUCCUGAUUCCUACGCCGUGAUGUGACCACUUGAUCCCACCUAGUUAUGUCGUAAUCAGUGAAUUCAAGAAUGACUAUCUUUACCUUCUUCUCUACCAAAUAAUUAUGACAUUCAAAAAUUAGCUCCACCUUUUUUCCCACUCUAAAUAAACCUCUGAAUCACUUCUUCCCUUAAAUGGUGGAACCGACAUCUUAAUGUUACGCAUGUUCCCAUCUAUUUCUUCGCCAACGUUAUUCCUACCUUUUCUUUCAAGCCUAGCUCCUCUAUUUCUCACCCACCCCAUUUCUACCCCCAUUGACACAUCCUCGUCCAAAUCACUACCAUAUUCAUACUCCUCAUGCUUUUCCAUCCUAGGCUCCCAUCUGCCCGGUCUCCUUUCAAUAGGUACUCCAACUCGUUGCCCAUGACUAAAAUUUGUAACUGAUGUAUCAAACCUAUCCAACCUAUCACCCACAUCGUUAACAAUCUCUCAAACUGCCGCGUCAUAUUAUCAGACGCGUUGAUGUGAUUAACGUUUCUGCUUGAAUUGGAAUCCUCCAUGUCAGACAUCCUAGUUCUAUGAUUUUCUUUUGCCUGACUUGUAUUUUACUUUGUAUCACUCAAUAUGGCUUUUACCCUCUAUUGAUCUCACCACUCUGUCUUUUUUCACUCAGCGCUUACGUCCAAGUGCAACAAAGUUAACUCAACAUGAAUUAGUCUGGUGGAUUCUAAACCGAAUGUAAUCAAGAAAAGCAACCGUAAGAGGACUUCAAACAAUUGGAAUGAACCUUUGAAUUGGAAACUAACAAAAUUUAAGAGUUGAUUGAAACGAACUUUGAAUUGAUUGGACAAAAAUAAAUGUGUCUCGAGAAAUUGAAAAAAAAAAAAUUGUUGGCAGUAAAGUCACAAUAACAAUUUUUUUGUACACCCCUUUUCUUGUGAAUUUUUUACUCUUCUCACUUUUUUGUGACUUUAUUUAAGAAAAGUGAUUACAAUACCAACAAAUCAAACUAAAGUUGUCUUGGAUGCUAGAUUAGCCCAAAGAACAACUUUUUAAAAAUUGAAGACAAUAUUACGAAUCAAAGACUCUAAAUAAUGAAGAACUCAAGAAAGUGAAAAUACUAGAAAAACAAAAUAAGGACUCAACAAUGAAAAUUAAAAGAUAUAACCUCGGUUAAUUUGGAGCCCAGGCAUUGAUACCAACUUAUAUGAACCUGCAUAGCAACGGUGACUACGGAACCCACACAAGAUUGUUAGAACACCAGGAAAGCCAAAAGAACUCGGUUCGUGGAUUUGAAUCAAGAAUAAUGAACCAAGCAACCCAAACAAGACAACGAUGUGUGGACCUCUUGAUUACACGUUUCGUAAUUCGCACCCAAUGUUGAACGCCACAAGAUUUUUACCUUGAUAAGUUCAAAGUUUGUUCCAAAGAAGAACAAGGAUUUGAAAGUAAGAAAGUUGCCUCUCUUUUGAUUCUCAAUAAUGUUAAAGUUGUACGAUGAAAGAAUGAAAAACAUACUUAUACUAAACCCUAAAAUCUAGAUAAAAACAAAAUAAAGUUCUAAGAGAUUGCAAAUAUACCAAAAAGUAGAGUUUUGAUACAAUUAAGAAACUUUCAUGAAAAGGAAGAAUUUCAGUGUCACUUAGUACCAUGCGAUCACAUGGUACUCUCCAUUGCGUUCGUACAAGUCACUUGUGCUGCCUCCUUUAACUCUCGAUCGACGCAUGGUUUCCAACACUAUGCUCUCGCAUAGUGUUUUUGUUCGGCUCCAAAAUCUAUUGCUUGUAUUGUGUUGAUCCAAAUGGUUUCGGUUAUCGACCCCAACAUAAAACUUGCUUCCUUUCUUACAUAAAUCGAUGUUUCAUCAAUGGUUGAUUGCACAAGUAAACACAUCGCUUGAUUGAUCCGCUUUGCCCUCGAACGCGUCAUCGUCCUCCUUCGAUAAUCAAUGGGCCUCUUCCCAAGUUCUUCUUCGUCGGGCUUGAUUCCUGGAUCACAUCAGUUUUCUUUGGUGGUCAUUAGUGGUGAUCGUGUUUCAUUUGAGCCCUCAUAUAACUCAAAUUUUGAACUAUAGAAGAACCAAUUUGAUCAACAGCAUAUGAAAAGGGCUGUGACAUAAAUGAAUAGUAAACCUCUUUUAAGAGAAAGAGAUUCAUAUAUAAAUUUUAUUUUAUUUCAAAAUGAUGCAUAACCUCAAAAAGUUGAUUUUUAUCAAAUACAGAAAUGAAUAUUUGUCAAUCAAAUUUAAUAGACGAAUUCAUGUGGCAAAUAGCACACUUACGGGACAUUUAAUUUAAUUUUAAAUAUAAUAUUUUAUCUAUAGAAUUAAUUAUUGAAUUUUAAGAAGGUUAAUGUUAUAUGUAACGGGGAUGAAUAUUGUGAUUUUUUUAAAAUUUUGAAAUUGUAUUAGAGAUUUAGAGUGGAAUGAAUAUAUAAAAUUUGUGUGGAUAUAUAGUGCUUAAAUUAAAUAAUUCAAUGAGGACAAUAUUAUAAUGUGAUGUGAAUGACAAUAGUAAUUUUUUAAAAUUGUAAUAUUUUUAAGGGAUGAAUAUAUAAAAAAUUGUUGAUGUACAUAGUUGUACCCUAUAUUUAUAGUAGGGAUAUAGAAUAAUUUAAUUUAAAAUUUGUGGUUAGCUAAAAUUUGUAUAUUUCAUUAUAAAGGAUUAUUCUAGUAAGUUUUAUUAUAUUUUUCCCACUGAAAUUGUCUGAUUUUAGUUCGAAAAUUUUAAAUAUAGUUUCAGUAUAUUAUUUUCGUAUUAUAAAUAGAUUUUAUCAUUUAAAUUUUUAAACUUAUUCUAUAUUUAAAUUUUUAGGAUUUUUUUUGUAAAUUAAAUUUUUAAAUAAGUUUAAAUUAAUAGGUAGGAUUGAUCGAAAUUACACUUGUGAUGAAUUUAUUUAUUUAUUACUAUUUUGCAAAAAAUAAUAAAUGUUGCAAAUCCUUGCUGUAAUACACGUAUUUAGCAGCAUUCAUUAAACGUUGCAAAAAAUAAUUUUUUUCUCAACAUUAAAAAGGCAUUGCAAAAAGUGAAACUUUCGCAACAACCAAUUAACGUUGCAAAAGGCUAUAUUAAGAGUUUCAGCAAUAGGCAUUAAAUGUUGCUAUAGAACUAGGUUUUAACAACAUUCAUUAAAAGUUGAAAAAAUGAAACUUUUCGCAACAAUCAAAGAAUGUUGUAAAAAAUGAAACUUUUCGCAACAGCCAAUAAACAUUCAAAAGGCUAUAUAUUAAGAGUUUCAGCAACAAACAUUGAGCGUUGCUAUAGAACUAGGUGUUAACAACAUUCAUUAAACAUUGCAAAAAUGAAACUUUUCACAACAUUCAAACAACAUUACAAAAAGUGAAACUUUCCGCAAUAGUCAAUAAACGUUGCAAAAGGCUAUAUAUUAAGAGUUUUAGCAGCAAGCAUUAAAAGUUGUUAUAGAAAUAGGUUUUAAUGACAUUCAUUAAACGUUUCAAAAAAUGAAAUUUUUGCAACGCUCAAGUAGGGAUGGCAACAGGGCAAGGCAAGCUCCCCAUUACCCAUUUAAGGUUGGUCGGGAUUGGGGCGGUGUGGUUGCCCGUUACGUACCUGUUUAACUUUUUUAUAUAGUUUUUUAUAAUUCAUUUUAAUGCCCCCAUUCAUUCGAGUGAGACAAUAAUAUAGUUAUUAAAUUUUUUAAUUAAUUUAUAUAUUUUUGAAAGUUAAAUUAUUAGAAUAUAUUUGGUAAACUAAGGUUUUUAUUAUUUAUUAUAUUAUAUAAUCUUAGUUGAUAUCUUCUAUUAGAAUUAAUGAAAUUUUGUGGACUUUUUUUAUUUAGGGCCUAUUUGAGCCCCAUUUUCCUAAUAAUGCAUUUUAGAAUAAUAGAUUGGCAGAGAAUGUGUGAUUAAAAUAAUGAAAUUUUUUGAAUUUACGUAUAACAUUAUUUUAUUAAAAAAUGUGUGGUUGAAAAGAAAAAUAAGAAAAAUGUAUUUUAAAAUGAAUGGGAAUCAAAUAAGAGUUUAAAGUAUUGAAUUCUUUAAAAUAAUAAUAAAAAAAUUAAAUGGAGUGGGACAGGCUCCCCUUACCCGUACGCACCUUGGGAUGGAAUCCCCAUGCUCUGUACCCCCUACCCGUACCCGCCUUGGGACGAAGUGGGACAGGCUCCCCUUACCCGUAGCCGUUGAUUGAUUGAUUUCUAAUUGAUUAUGUUGUCAUUUCAUGUUUUACUUGCCUACAUAUAUGUCCUUCAUUCAUUAAUUAUGAAGUUAUGUUUUAUACGUAUAAUCAUGUAUGCUUUGAUAACGAUUUUUUUAUGAUGUGCAAUGAGUUAAUAGUUCAUCAGUUGUUGGUCCUUACAAAUGUUCUUUUCUGCAUCCUAAGAUUCAUGGGAAUACGAGUUCGCCAAUAUUUGUUUACGAGUUUUUGUUAUUCAAGAGUCACUCAUUUUCAUGGACUUGUUAAAAACAAGACAUCCAUUAUUGAACUAUUUCAAUAAAAAUGAAAAGGAGAAAAGGAAUGAUGCGUAAAAUUGCAAAAAAAAACUAUUUUCAUCUUAUUGUUCCCCCCCCCCCCCCCCCGCCCUCCCCUUCUAUAUUAAAUGUAGCAUUUCGGCUAAAUUAAAUAAAUAACAAGAGAGUUCAAAUAGUUACAUACAGAACAGCAGACUUGAACUAUCUGUCAUGCUAUAUAAACAGAAAUAAAGCAGAAAACUUUCUAAAUUGUAACAUGCACAUUGUGUAUGUAGCUGCAGGGUACAACAAUGAAAAUAAAUUCAAGUUAAUUUGGUAGUAAGCUGAUAAACUAAGAUUAAAGCGAGUUUAAUAGGUCUGUGGGGAAGUUAUACCUCAAUUUGUAAAUAAUUCGAAGGCCGUAGAUCAUUUUCCUAUAUAAUUGUCUAAUAAAAAGCAUCAUUAAUGGAAUAUCCUAAGAUCUAUCAAAAGAAGGUUUUUGAUAUACAUUUAUUAUUUUCCUAAAUCUAAUUUAUGUUAUAUUUCAAGGAAUUAGUAUCAAUUCCUAUUUCUCUUCAUUGUAUUGUUUCAUUUGUUCUGUUUUUUAAUGGAUUAAACUGUUCGGAUGUGCAUGACAAAAUAAAAAUUGCUUAUUAAGAGACCACCCAAUUUGUACACUCUUCCUCUUUAUUUUUCAUUUUUAGACUAUAACCUAUAUUUACAUUUCUUAGGAUUUUUGGGGCAAUCCAUAGUCAAUGUCAUCAAAUUAAGUUAGCAAAACUCCCACAAGAUUUCAUACUAUCCUUGGUUCUACUGAUCUUUUGUUGUUAAUUAUGUCUUCAUGUCUCUUUUCAAGUAUAAUGGAGAUAAUUUGAAGGUCAAACAAUGGAGGCUAAAGAGGACAAAUGCUGAGUGCAUAAGGAGCAUCAUCAUCAUCAUUUUCUAAAAUGGUGAGUAUCGUUAUCCUUCUCCAGGCUUACUUUUUCGCUUAUAUUGGGACAAUGGAGUGAUCUCCUGUGUAAUUCAAACCUUAUGCUUGUUUUCAUUAAUAAUAAUAAUAAUUAGAAAAAGUGAAAACACAAAAAUUUAUGUAUUACAUAGCUAGAUAGCCUUG